rnacentral:sRNA from 1 species
GGAGAGCCAGUGCAAACGCAACAGUUUUGUAUUACGGUUUUUCCGUCACUACAGGUCUGUUGCGUGUGCCUUUUAUAAACUCCACACUUUUUAUUUGGUCGCACAUGAACCCGAUAGUAAUAAACCAGCUGCAACGUAAAAUCGGCUAUACUUUU